ACACUCACUCCCUCCCCUCACACACACUCCCUCCCCUCACGCACGAUGAGAAACACCCCCGAUCUGACAGAGGAGCUCACACCCUACCCCUCCACCCUCGCCGAGGGCUGGGGCUGAGGUUGGGGCUGGGGCUCUGCCGGGGGGUGGGGGGCUAUUGCCGGCAGCGAGCAAUGGAGUGAGGCUCAGGCUGCAGAGUUGACUUGGUGUAAGCUGAGACUCCCAUGAGUUGAAGAAGGUAUGACAGGAAGUCUUGAGACGAGGGAGUUGCCGCUGGUAUUUCUACCAAAAACGCAAAAGUUCUGACCCUCUGUCCUCGGACAUACGAGUCGGAUUUUUCUUAAAAGGUCAUCAUGGAAUUGGGAUGUUUUGUCCAGGUACAUUGAAAGAAUUGGGGACUAAAAUGAUGGCCCAAAACUUGCUUGGCGUCCUUCACAUUGGAUUGAAAAGGAUGGGACAAGUACAUGUGAGAGAGUUUGCAGGACGUGCGAGAUUGAGCAAUUCACCACCAUUUCCUGCUGAAAGUGAUUCUGAUGAUAAAAUGAGUUCUGAUGAAUCCGAUUACGACAAUACAUUUUCGGUUCAACUGUGAUGUCCAACAAACCAGUAAUGUUGUUACUUUUGAUCAAUAAUGUUGACUUAGUUAUGUUGAUACAUUCAUUAAUAAAGACGCUAUAUACUGAA